rnacentral:lncRNA from 1 species
GAGAAACCUAAGUUCUAAAUUUAAGAAAAUUGUCGUUUUCGUCUUUUCAAUCCGCUGGUCUUUCGAGCGCAGAGGUGCAUGGGAAUUGUAGUUUUCAAUGUAACGGCCCAGCGCUUGGUACCCGAGGAAUACAACGCUGGCCCUCACUCUGCACAUGUGCCGAUCUAGACUCGCUUCCGCAGACGGCAUACCUGCCCUCGAAAGGGACGUCUCCGCGUUAUUGGGUCCAUGUGGGAACGGAAGCUGCACACUUUGGAUUGAAUCCUGAGCUGGACCCGGUGCUGCAGCCAGGGUAGCAGGACUGCGGGAACAGCUGAAUCUUCACACUUAUGUAUAUUCUUCCAGGGGAGAAAAAAAUGAGCACAUACCAGGUGAGUUCACCUUUUAAUAAACAGUGUGUUUUACAGUAAAUUUCA